GGUGGGUACCGGGUGCUGCUAGGUUCUUCUCCCACCCUAUAAGCGGAGGUAGAAUGCUUUGCAAGCUUUAAUAAGAAGGGACAGGAGAAAAGGAGACAUGAGGGCAAAAGGGGUGGAUGGGGAGAAGGUGGUAUGGUGUGGUGCGCAGGCGGUGAAGUUGAAAGAAGUUGUUCAUGAGAUUUUCAAGACCAAGAGGUGAAGUAGCGAAGGACUCGUGUUUUCUUCCGGACGCAACAGAUGCUGCAAGUGCAUUUUAAGAGGCUACCCGCUUGCCUUAUGUUCACCUACUAGAGCCUCACUCUUCUUUCCGGGAAAAGUAAAGAUAAAUAAAUAAAAGGUCAAAACUUUC